rnacentral:tRNA from 1 species
GCUGGCGUGGCGAAACUGGUAAACGCAGCGGACUUAAAAUCCGCCGUCUUGCGACUUACGGGUUCAAGUCCCGUCGCCAGCACCA